UCUCCGUUGGUGAACCAGCGGAGGGAUCAUUACCGAGUUUACAACUCCCAAACCCCAUGUGAACCUUACCAAACGUUGCUCCGGCGGGAUGCCCCGGGCGCGGGCCGCAAGGCCUCAGCCCCGGAACCAGGCGCCCGCCGGAGGCCCAAACCAAACUCUUGUUUUUGUAGAAUCUUCUGAGUGGCCUUUUAGGCAAAAAAUGAAUCAAAACUUUCAACAACGGAUCUCUUGGUUCUG
rnacentral:misc_RNA from 1 species